CAAUUGUUCAACCUUGGAGCCAAAACAAAGCCUACAAUGUGUUUAUUAAAUAAUAAUUUCCUGCCUUAUUAUUAUCGCCAUUUAUAUAGCGCCAACAGAUUCCGUAGCGCUUUACAAUAUUAUGAGAGGGGGGGCAUGUAACCAUAAAUAGGACAAUUACAAGAAAACUUACAGGAAUCAUAGGUUGAAGAAGACCUGCUCAAACCAGCUUACAGUCUAUCCGCACUUAUUGGCUAUAUCUCGG